GUUCUCUCAGCAGCACUUAUACUAAAAUUAGAAGGAUAGAGAAAAGAUUCAUUAAUAUGGCCCCUGGGCAAGGAUGGUGUGCAGAUUCGUGAAGCACUCCAUACUAAA
ensembl:snRNA U6 U6 spliceosomal RNA